AGCACCUACGGGGGGCAGCAGUGGGGAAUAUUGCACAAUGGGGGAAACCCUGAUGCAGCGACGCCGCGUGAGUGAAGAAGUAUUUCGGUAUGUAAAGCUCUAUCAGCAGGGAAGAAGAAAGACGGUACCUGACUAAGAAGCCCCGGCUAACUACGUGCCAGCAGCCGCGGUAAUACGUAGGGGGCAAGCGUUAUCCGGAUUUACUGGGUGUAAAGGGAGCGUAGACGGCAGCGCAAGUCUGGAGUGAAAUGCCGGGGCUCAACCCCGGAACUGCUUUGGAAACUGUGCAGCUAGAGUGCGGGAGG
rnacentral:rRNA from 1 species